rnacentral:rRNA from 1 species
UACGUAGGGUGCGAGCGUUGUCCGGAAUUAUUGGGCGUAAAGGGCUCGUAGGCGGUUUGUCGCGUCGGGAGUGAAAACUCAGGGCUUAACCCUGAGCCUGCUUCCGAUACGGGCAGACUAGAGGUAGGUAGGGGAGAAUGGAAUUCCCGGUGUAGCGGUGAAAUGCGCAGAUAUCGGGAGGAACACCGGUGGCGAAGGCGGGUCUCUGGGCCGAUACUGACGCUGAGGAGCGAAAGCGUGGGGAGCGAACAGG